rnacentral:rRNA from 1 species
UACAGAGGUCUCAAGCGUUGUUCGGAUUCAUUGGGCGUAAAGGGUGCGUAGGUGGCGCCGUAAGUCGGGUGUGAAAUUUCGGAGCUUAAACUCCGAAACUGCAUUCGAUACUGCGGUGCUUGAGGACUGGAGGAGGAGACUGGAAUUCGAUGGUGUAGCAGUGAAAUGCGUAGAGAUCAUGAGGAAGACCAGUGGCGGAAGGCGGGUCUCUGGACAGUUCCUGACACUGAGGCACGAAGGCCAGGGGAGCAAACGGG